ensembl:lncRNA
AAAAUUGCUACUUUAAUUGCUACUUUCCAGUUCACAUUUUCCCAGCUUAGUCCCUGUAUAAGGGACAUUUUAAAGAUUGAGCAAAGAGGAAUAGCCAGUUUUACCAGAGAGGGUACAAGGAGCUAAAACGAAGUUAAACUGAGAUGAGCUAGAAACCCCCUACAUAUCUUGCAUUGUAUAUUUUAAAAGACAAAAUGGGCUUGUACAAAAUGGAGACAUGUUGGAAAUAAACCCACUGCCUUUGAUAUUCUAAUAUAAAAAAGUACAACUAUAAGGCUUGUGUCAGUAGCCCCCAGGCAAUAGAUUUUCUGUUUCCCACUGGGCUUUCAGUAGUCACUGAAGAGAUGCAGUAAGAAGAGGCAGCUGGGGAGAAGGCCAGGGGAGCAGAAGUGAGCACACAGAUGUACAGGUGAGGACAGGUCUCACCUCAAGACCUGGAACUGAGAAUUGCCUGUAGGUAGGCCUCUGGCUGUAAGCCUGUGCUUCUUUCAGCUCCUGCUGUGUCUGAGCCUUGGCCUGCCAUUUCUGGUUCUUGCAGCACUCUUUUCUAAGCAGUUCUGUGGCUUCCAUCAAAACCAGUGGGUAAACUGCCUUUCCUCUGCUCGUUUUUUGGCUGCAGCAAUUUCCUCUGUGCUUCUGUUGGUUAGUCUAUUUAUGGUGACCGCAAUUUUUCCCCUUCAUGCUGACUUAAGUAGGAAAAAAUUUCAAAUGAUCAUCUGUUCUCAAUUUUCUUUAGGCGUUUAACUCUUUCUAUCCUUGAUGUUGUUUUGCUUAGCAGAUUAUUGGUUCAAAUCCCUGUUCCAGGAGUGUCUGAGCCUAGGACAACAUCCAAGUUUGUGUUGGAAGUUAAAAGCCGUAUGUAACAUCACACAGUUCACUGAAUCUGACACCAUAUCAAGAAAAGAUGCUCAAAGAAAUACACUUGCUGAGCCCUUAAUGGGAAUUGACAUACAACUAAGUAGCAUCUUUCUUUGCUGAAGUGGAAUUAUACCAGAAAGGGUGACAGCACUUUGAUGGAAAGCUGAGACGCUGUGGUAAGGUCAAAGUUCUUAAGGAGAAGAAUUCCAGAUCCUGCAGUGAUGUAUUUCGUUUAUGUCUCCAGUGAGGGGCCAGGUUCAGAUUUCUUUGAAGGGUUGACUUGAGCAAUUGUCCUGGCUUGGCUGGGAUAGAGUUAAUUUUUUUCUUAGUGGAUGGUUAGAACAAAACAGCUGCCUAUUUUUGAGUUCAUCACAUGCAGGCAUGAAAUGUCUACAGACCUCCUGAGGAAGAGGGAAAUGGAAUUUCUUUGUUGCUGUGAAAAUAAGACAAACUGGCUGCUAGUGCAAUGGUACUGACUGGGUCUCAGAGGGUGCAAUGUCUGAGCAGACUCAAGGAGCUACAAAAUCUAUUGCCUUGUUCCACCACUAGCACCUUUAGGAAAUGUGAAGGGCAUUCCUCCUUUGAAAACAUUUCACUCUUGCAAUUGCAGUCAGAGUAGAUAUAGUUUGUAGUUCCUUUCACAAACAGUUGGAUGCAAUAACUGCUGCAAAUUGUCAGAGCGCUCUUCCUCAGCCCCUCAGACACCUCUCAGUGGUCACAGGAGCAGAAUUCAGCCAUAGAAGGGUUACUGCCAGAGACAGGGGUGUUUAUCACCUUUAAGUUUGUAUGUGCUGGGUUUGGCUUUGCUACUUACUGGAAACUGUGUAACUAGAAAUUAAGUUCAUAAAAUCAGCACUGUGUAAUUUGGCCAAUUCUAGUUUUAAGGCUGUUUACGUGUUUAGAGGCUGAACGGAAGGGUGUGAAAGGCUAGUAUUCACAUCACAGAUUUUCAAAUGCAUAUUCAUCAAAGUGGCAAAUUUUUAAUGGCAAAACACUGAUACUCUUUUUGGUCCUAGUGUUGCUGGGCAGAAUUACAAAGGUUUUUCUAUUUUUCCAAAGAAGUAAAAUAUUCAAUCUUUUCUUUACAUUUUCAAUGACAUGGGAAGGGGGCUUCUAGUAGGUAUUUUGCAGUGUCUAUUUUGCUGUCUCUGCUGAGGAGAGGAUGAGGAUUAAGGACGAGGUGUGCAACAUGCUGAAGUGAGGCUUUUGUGUCUUUAGUGAAGCACAAUUAUUACAUCUGACCCAACAUAAACUCUGAGUAGAAAAUGCCUGUAAUUAAUGAAAUGUUUUGGGUUUUGGCACUAAAGCCAGUUACUUCUUCAUAAUUUCUGGGGAAACAGAAUUGUCACUGGAAUUUACUGUGUGGUCUAAAAAUGCUCUGGAAUUUAUGUGACUUUGGCCAGGGAGGGAAGCAACCAUUGUAGACUGGCUUGAGUUGUGGGGCUCUUUCUUAACACAGUAAUUCAAAAGUCUUCCAGUCCAAAGGCAAGGCAGUGAAAUUGAACAUACUCUAGAGAAGAUCUCACCAGAUUAAGGUUUUCACCCAUGGGUCAAUUUUCAGCAAAGCUUGGGCUGGCAUCACAGAGCCAGUCAGCCAGGAGGACAACACCUGGCUCGCAUCUGCCUCGUGGACACAUAAAACCUUAUAAACAACCCACAAAAUUGACACCUUGAAGCAUAACAAGAGGUAUCAUACAGGAACCACUCUGCCAGAAGCAGCAAAAGAAUGACAGUGAUCCAUCAGCUAUGGAUCUUUUAGGAAGCUUUGGAUAAAGGGUAGUGAAUCACAGCUACUGUCUCUGGAUCAUUCUGUGCCAUACUAUUGUCUGUAUGAACCUCUGAUAGCAAGAAAGAAAGGAGCAUGCCUGGGAUUUCCCUCCUGAACCUAGGUGGAAUGUGCACAGAAGCAUGAGAUUUGCCUAAACUGGUAAGUUUUUUGACUUACUUUAUCAGUCACAGUAACAAAUUUCUCAUACUAUACUAAGAGCACAGAAAUUCUUGAAAGUAUAGCUUAUUUCUGUAUUAUUCAUUUUGCCUUCUUACUUUGCAUUGCAAUUUCUGGAUAUCCUAGAGUUGAUUUCUUAGUGUAUUGAUGAGGAGAGACACUAUGUAGGGAGCUAAACAUGCCUGAACUGGUGUGCAGAUGGAGAACAGAACUGGCCAUGCCUGAUGACAGUGCCCGGAGAAACACUGCCUGUCUGCUCCCGUGGAAACAGCUGAGCACAGUGAGGCGGUUAAGGGUGCAAAGGGGUUGGUCACCUCUGCAGGCAGCACUGGGGUCAAUCCCAAGCACGGUGAACAGAAGCUUUUAAUACUAAGCAGUGAAGCACUAUGAAAAUACAGUGGGAAAUGAGUCCAAAAGAAGUGAAGUACGUUAAUCUGAAUAUCCUUUCCAUACUCCAUUAAGAAUCUUUAACACUGUGUUGCACUUCAUUAAUAAAUAGUGUUUCUGCAUCACUAAAAGACCGGUGACAGCAGCGUUCCUUAAAGAGGUCACCUCUCUGGAGGUCUGCGGGAUCGGAGCCAGGACGCACUGGUCUGCAAGGGCAAGCUGUGAAACAAAGAACUCUCGGAGAGGGAAGACGUGAACAU